rnacentral:sRNA from 1 species
CAUGCCCCUUAUACGCCGGGCUACACACGUGCUACAAUGGGUAGAACAGAGAGUUGCAAAGCCGUGAGGUGGAGCUAAUCUCAGAAAACUAUUCUUAGUUCGGAUUGUACUCUGCAACUCGAGUACAUGAAGUUGGAAUCGCUAGUAAUCGCGAAUCAGCAAUGUCGCGGUGAAUACGUUCUCGGGUCUUGUACACACCGCCCGUCACACCACGAGAGUUGGUUGCACCUGAAGUAGCAGGCCUAACCGUAAGGAGGGAUGCUCCGAGGGUGUGAUUAGCGAUUGGGGUGAAGUCGUAACAAGGUAUCCGUACGGGAACGUGCGGAUGGAUCACCUCCUUUCUAAGGAGACAAUGUCUUUCUCUAUUCUAUUGGUAAUGUUCUUACAUUACUUCUGAACAUUGGAAACUAUAUAGUAGAACAAAAAUAACUCUAAACAAUUUCUUAGAGUUAGCUGUCAAAAAAAUAGAUUAAAAUAAUUAAGGGCACACAAAGGAUGCCUAGGUAGUAAGAGCCGAUGAAGGACGUGGUAAGCUGCGAUAAGCCUAG